UAGAGUUUGAUCCUGGCUCAGAAUGAACGCUGGCGGCGUGGAUAAGACAUGCAAGUCGAACGAAGAAGGAAUUAGUUUACUAAUAAAUUCUUAGUGGCGGACGGGUUAGUAACGCGUGAGCAACUUGCCUUAGAGAGGGGGAUAGUCCUGGGAAACUGGGUUUAAUACCGCAUGUGCCCACCAUUUAUUUGGUUGGGUAAAGCUAGCUUCGGCUGGUGCUCUAAGAUAGGCUCGCGUCCUAUCAGCUAGUUGGUGAGGUAACGGCUCACCAAGGCGACGACGGGUAGUUGGUCUGAGAGGACGACCAGCAACACUGGAACUGAGACACGGUCCAGACACCUACGGGUGGCAGCAGUCGAGAAUCAUUCACAAUGGGGGCAACCCUGAUGGUGCAACGCCGCGUGUAGGAUGAAGGCCCUAGGGUCGUAAACUACUGUCAUGUGAGAGUAAGGCAUAUUAUUUAAUAGAUAGUAUGUUUGAUAGUAUCACAAGAGGAAGGGACGGCUAACUUCGUGCCAGCAGCCGCGGUAAUACGAAGGUCCCGAGCGUUAUUCGGAAUCACUGGGCGUAAAGGGAGCGUAGGCUGCGCGGUAAGUCAGAUGUGAAAUCUCAGGGCUCAACCCUGAAACUGCAUCCGAUACUGCCGUGCUAGAGUAAUGGAGGGGUAACUGGAAUUCUCGGUGUAGCAGUGAAAUGCGUGGAUAUCGAGAGGAAGACCAAUGGCGAAAGCAGGUUACUGGACAUUUACUGACGCUGAGGCUCGAAGCUAGGGUAGCGAAAGGGAUUAGAUACCCCUGUAGUCCUAGCAGUAAACGAUGUGCGCUUGGUGUGGGCAGGUUCGACCCUGUCCGUGCC
rnacentral:rRNA from 1 species